UCUCCACGCAAAGGGAAAUUAAUAUUCCACCGUCCCUUUGUCUCACCCAAGAAAAACAAAAUUAUUCCCAUGUGCCUUCCUCUCCGUUAUUUCUCUCUCACAUUUAUUUUCCUGAUCUAGAUCUGAUUCGUAUCUCACAUAUUAUGUGUUGAUUUUUUUUCUUGCCGGUUGACUAUCCUAUCUUUUCUUCUGGAUUCAGAUUCAGCUAUUUUUUAAUCUGUCACCAAAGCUAUUCCUCUCUCAAACUAAUGCAACGAAGUUGAGCCAAGGAUAUGACGUGGUCAAGGGGUUAUUGCCUCACAUUUGUUUUCCUGAUCUAGAUCUGAUUCGUAUCUCACAUAUUCUGUGUUGAUUUGUUUUCUUGCCGGUUGACCAUCCUAUCUUUUCCUCUGGAUUUAGAUUCAACUAUUUUUUAUUCUGUCAUCUGAUCGUGUUGUGCUCGAACUCGUCCUAUUUAUAUUUACUUCAUUGGAUUUCGAUUGAACCCUGAAUCUUCUCCCAUAAUUUUUUUGGAUACCUAAUGGAGAUCGAUUGAGAGCCCAGCUAUGCCCAUCAGGUGAUUAUUCGAUUUCACCAUCCCCGCUGCUUCAUGCAAAGAUUCUUCUUCUUCAUGGGGCGAGAUUCUUCUUCUUCUGUCCGAGAUUCAAGUGGUGAUGAUUCAGGUAUUCAUAGAUGCACGUGCAUAUAUCGACAGACCGAAGGCAAGAUUCAAAUAGUUUCUUUUUUUGUAAUAUGUAUGCUCAGAUCAAUUCCGUAUGAUUCCUAAUCUAUUUAGUAUCUUCACCCCUUCAUCUCUAUCACCUAACCAGGCUCUAAUCUCUCACAUAAUUUGUUCAAAAAAAAAUCUCUCACAUAAUAGAUCAUCUCUUCCUAGGGUACGGCAUCCAAUCUCUCCUUGCUCCAGUGCGAUGUUCGCUACCGCUGGCAGACUAGGGUAAGACCUCCCACUUUGCUCCACCAUCCUCAGGGCGUGGUGAGGUAGACCUAGCUGCAUAGGAGUCUCUCUCUCUUUCUCAAAUUUCUGACAGGCAUAUGUCACUGGGUUUGCUGCACACAAGUGGUAUAUACAAGAUUUAUACGGCAGAUGUACACACCUUCGUUGUGUUUGACGAAGUGCCCAACCACGUGAUCACACAGGUGGUCUUUCACCAGGAAAGGAGAGCUUUAUCCAUGGUGGUCAUGCUGUAAUCAAAACUGUUGGAUUAUAGACAA